AGCGAACGCUGGCGGCAGGCCUAACACAUGCAAGUCGAACGAACCCUUCGGGGUUAGUGGCGGACGGGUGAGUAACACGUGGGAACGUGCCUUUAGGUUCGGAAUAACUCAGGGAAACUUGUGCUAAUACCGAAUGUGCCCUUCGGGGGAAAGAUUUAUCGCCUUUAGAGCGGCCCGCGUCUGAUUAGCUAGUUGGUGAGGUAAUGGCUCACCAAGGCUACGAUCAGUAGCUGGUCUGAGAGGAUGACCAGCCACAUUGGGACUGAGACACGGCCCAAACUCCUACGGGAGGCAGCAGUGGGGAAUCUUGCGCAAUGGGCGAAAGCCUGACGCAACCAUGCCGCGUGGAUGAUGAAGGUCUUAGGAUUGUAAAAUCCUUUCACCGGUGAAGAUAAUGACUGUAGCCGGAGAAGAAGCCCCGGCUAACUCCGUGCCAGCAGCCGCCGUAACAC
rnacentral:rRNA from 1 species